rnacentral:rRNA from 1 species
AAUCUUCCACAAUGGGCGAAAGCCUGAUGGAGCAACGCCGCGUGAGUGAAGAUGGAUUUCGGUUCGUAAAACUCUGUGGUAAGGGAAGAACAAGUACAGUAGUAACUGGCUGUACCUUGACGGUACCUUAUUAUAAAGCCACGGCUAACUACGUGCCAGCAGCCGCGGUAAUACGUAGGUGGCAAGCGUUGUCCGGAAUUAUUGGGCGUAAAGCGCGCGCAGGUGGUUUCUUAAGUCUGAUGUGAAAGCCCACGGAUCAAACGUGGAGGGUCAUUGGAAACUGGGAGACUUGAGUGAAGAAGAGGAUAGUGGAAUUCCAAGUGUAGCGGUGAAAUGCGUAGAGAUUUGGAGGAACACCAGUGGCGAAGGCGACUAUCUGGUCUGUAACUGACACUGAGGCGCGAAAGCGUGGGGAGCAAACUGG